rnacentral:lncRNA from 12 species
GGAUGGGAUGGGAUGGGAUGGGAUGGGAUGGGAUGGGAUGGGAUGGGAUGGGAUGGGAUGGGAUGGGAUGGGAUGGGAUGGGUCUGAUGGGAUGGGAUGGGCACUGGGAUCGGGAUGAGAUGGGGAUGGGAUCAGGCCCGGCUGAGGGAUGGGAUUGGGGUGGGAUCGGACAGGGAUCGGGAUGGGAUCGUGCCGGGAUCAGGAUAGGAUCAUGCCAGGCUCAGAACGGGCUCAGGCCGGGCUCAGGACGGGCUCAGAACGGGCUCAGGCCGGGCUCAGGCCGGGCUCAGAACGGGACGGUGCCAGGCUCAGGCCGGGCUCAGGCCGGGCGCAGAACGGGCUCAGGCCGGGCUCAGGCCGGGCUCAGAACGGGCUCAGGACGGGCUCAGGACGGGCUCAGGACGGGACGGUGCCGGGAUCAGGGUAGGAUGGUGCCGGGACGGUGCCGGGAUCAGGAUGGGACGGUGCCGGGAUCAGGGUAGGAUGGUGCCGGGACGGUGCCGGGAUCAGAGCAGGACGGUGCCGGGCUCAGGCCGGGCUCAGAACGGGACGAGGCCGGGCUCAGGCCGGGCUCAG